rnacentral:rRNA from 1 species
GACGAACGCUGGCGGCGUGCUUAACACAUGCAAGUCGAACGGUGAAGCGCCUUCCUUUUUGGUGGGUGUGGAUGAGUGGCGAACGGGUGAGUAACACGUGAGUAACCUGCCCCCUUCUUCUGGAUAACCGCAUGAAAGUGUGGCUAAUACGGGAUAUUCUGGGUCUGUCGCAUGAUGGGUCUGGGAAAGAUAUUGUUUCGGUGGGGGAUGGGCUCGCGGCCUAUCAGCUUGUUGGUGGGGUGAUGGCCUACCAAGGCGGUGACGGGUAGCCGGCCUGAGAGGGUGGCCGGUCACACUGGGACUGAGACCCGGCCCAGACUCCUACGGGAGGCAGCAGUGGGGAAUAUUGCACAAUGGGCGCAAGCCUGAUGCAGCGCCGCCGCGUGAGGGAUGGAGGCCUUCGGGUUGUGAACCUCUUUCGCCAGUGAAGCAGGCCUGCCUCGUUUGUGGGUGGGUUGACGGUAGCUGGAUAAGAAGCGCCGGCUAACUACGUG